rnacentral:tRNA from 1 species
GCCUCGAUGGCUUCGAGGCAAAGCGCCGGCCUACGAAUCCCCAAGUGGCGGGUUCAAAUCCCGGUUGAGGUG